GUGUCGGUGGUGUAAUAGUAGAGCACGCGCCCCCGUAUGGAUGAAACGCGGGUUCGAUUCCCGCCUGAUGCC